rnacentral:lncRNA from 1 species
UAGUUUCUUCUCCGCACUUCCAUUACUCCACCUCCACCACAAUCAAUGAACAGCCCAGCUUAAACAAUUCUACCUCGACCAAGUUCACAGAUUCUUCCCUAUUCCCGUCAAUCGAGUUCACAGCUAAAUCCCUAAUUUCUUUUCUGUGCUACCACCAUCUGUAUUAUCUCAACUUUUUUGGUCAAGUUUAUAGCAAGUACACCACAAAAACUGAAUUUUGAAGUUAACCAUUUUUUUUGUUAAGGUUAUAUUCUG